AGUCAUGCAGUAGUGAUGUCCAGAAGUCUGUGUGUGUCUGCUUCUCAGAAAUCUUGUCUUUUCCCAACAGGAAAGCCAUAGAAGAAUUGUUAAAGGAGGCAAAGCGUGGGAAAACCCGGGCAGAGACAAUGGGGCCGAUGGGCUGGAUGAAGUGUCCUCUCGCUGGUACGAAUAAAAGAUUCCUUAUUAACACAAUUAAGAACACAUUGCCCUCCCAUAAAGAGCAAGACCACGAACAAAAAGAGGGCAGUAAGGAGCCUGGCAAAAGUCAAGACCAGAAGGAAACAAGUGGGAAGAAACACAGAAGCCACUCCUACAAGCGCAGCCUUCACUCAGCCCGGGGCUCAGUGGGCUGCUCUCCUCCAAGGAAGCGGGCCUCCCGGGACAAGUGUGACCCAAGGCCCAGCCGGCGAUGAGAUGGCUGCAGGGCCAGCCCAGCCCGUACUGCACCUGCCACUGGGCGCAGCGAGGCAAGGAGGCCGGGAGGUGGCGGGCUCUGACAUCCGAAAGUGACUUCCUCAGUGGGUCCUUUGUUUUACGGUGUCUCUUGGUACUGUGUUGUUGUUCUUGUUGCUCUUGUUAACAGGAAAAGAAAAACUUUACUAAAGCAAAUCGUAACUACCUUAUCCUGAAGGCGUCGUGGUGAGAGCAAGCUGAUUCCGCAUUGCCCUGCACAUCGAUGUUGUCUUUAUCUACCUUACCUGAAGUUCGUUUCAAACAAGGAGUUUUAGAAUUUGAGAUUUUGAGCUUGUUAGAAACUCCUAGUUUUUUGAUGUACUGCACUUUUGUGGUCAUUUCCCAGAAUUUCUCAAAAAAUAAAUAAAAUAUUUAAAAAC
rnacentral:lncRNA from 1 species